rfam:Gossypium raimondii Chr02_contig_1085, whole genome shotgun sequence.
AAUCCAUGCAUUGGGUAUCUCCGAAGUAGUUCUUUAAAUCUUUCCAAGCUUCGUACAACACUUCAUCCUCUGAUUGUUGAAAAAAUGUGAUGUCAUUUCUAAGUUU